AGGAGAGUACAACAGCCAUUAGAGGGAGAUGAGAAAGGAGAAAGGAGAAAGGAAGAGAAACAAAGAGAAAGGAAGAGCAACGACCCAAUCGAGGGCCACUCGCAGCUAACGUCGCGUGAAUUGACACACGCGGUAGACAUCCUGGUGCAGCUGUCCGACUGGUGCAUGGAAUAGGCUCUUGAUGAAUUUUCGUUGCGAGUUGGGUCACGAAAUGUCUAACAUGACAAAUAUCAUUGUUGAUGCUGAUGGCAACUAGCUAGAGCGAUGGAGAGGACUUUUCAAAUGGUGUUUCUGGGACAGUUUCCCUUUCCUUUUCUGGCCAGUUAAUGAACUUGGAUGUGUGACUUCAAGUCUUCAACCAACUAUGGCAGAUUCCUUUCCAAGUAUAUGUAAAAUAAUGAAGGUUGUGUUAUAUGAGAGAAUCUUCGAUCGUCAUCGAGCAAAUUAUGCAAAUAAAUGGAAUAUUGUUCA